rnacentral:rRNA from 1 species
AUACGGAGGGUGCAAGCGUUAUUCGGAAUCACUUGGCGUAAAGGACGCGUAGGCGGGUUGGCAAGUCAGAUGCGAAAUCCUACAGCUUAACUGUAGAACUGCAUUUGAAACUGCUAACCUAGAGUAUGUGAGGGGGAGAUGGAAUUAGUGGUGUAGGGGUAAAAUCCGUAGAUAUCACUAGGAAUACCGAAAGCGAAGGCGAUCUCCUGGAACAUAACUGACGCUAAGGCGUGAAAGCGUGGGGAGCAAACAGAAUUAGAUACCCUAGUAGUCC